rnacentral:rRNA from 1 species
GACGAACGCUGGCGGCGUGCUUAACACAUGCAAGUCGAGCGGUAAGGCCCUUUCGGGGGUACGACGAGCGGCGAACGGGUGAGUAACACGUGGGUGACCUGCCUCUAGCUCUGGGAUAAGCCCGGGAAACUGGGUCUAAUACUGGAUAUGACUCCAUGACGCAUGUUGUGGGGUGGAAAGCCUUGUGCGGCUAGAGAUGGGCCCGCGGCCUAUCAGCUUGUUGGUGGGGNGAUGGCCUACCAAGGCGACGACGGGUAGCCGGCCUGAGAGGGCGACCGGCCACACUGGGACUGAGACACGGCCCAGACUCCUACGGGAGGCAGCAGUGGGGAAUCUUGCGCAAUGGGCGAAAGCCUGACGCAGCGACGCCGCGUGAGGGAUGACGGCCUGGUGUAAC